CCGUGUCCUCGCAGAGCACUACGACGCCGUGACGGUGGUGGGGGCCCUGGGCGAGGGGCAGGUGCCGAUCUCGGUGCUGCCGGAGCUGCUGCGGGUCACUAAGCCGGGCGGCUUCCUGUGCCUGACGACCAGGAGCAACCCCUCGAACCUUCGGUACAAGGCGGAGCUGGAGGCGGCGCUGGGGCAGCUGGAGCGGAGCGGGGCCUGGCAGAAGCUGCUGGCCCAGGAGGUGGAGUACUGGGAGAGAGCCACCAGUGAGGAGGAGAGCACCCAGGGCACCGGCUACAUCUCUGGAGUGGUCUACAUCUACCAGAAGUGCCCUGUCCCCCACCUCGAGGAGGGCUGAGACCUAGCAUGGCUCUGGGAGGGCAUGGGAGAGUCUUCUGGAUUCAUCGGGGUCUCCUGGGCACCACCUUUAACACUGACAUUCAGAUAUUGACCCCGACACCUCAACGCUCACCAUGACAUCUCACAGACCCACAUGGCUGUUCUGAGAGUCUUUACCUGGAGACUGUUGGAGACCUGUUCCUGCUCAUCCUGUUCCCAUGUUCCUGGAGGACAGGUUGCAUCCUUCCCCUCAGGAGCUGUUCCUCAGUGUGAGGCAAUGGCUGUGUCUGUCCCUGUCCCUCACCCAGGGCAUCCCACGUCUUCCAUACUCGCCCUCCCCGUGGCUCUUGUCACCCUUUUGCUUUGUCCCCCAUGUUUGGGGUCCCUGUGCCCAUCAGUAGCUGUCCUACUGGUACCUCCCCAUUUGUCUCCAGCACUGAUUCCCUGGGCAGCUGGGGGUUAUGGCUGGCCCCAGCUCUGCACUACUUGCCUGUUCAAUAAAACCCCGUCCCUGCUGUCUGCCUGUUGAGCAUUUUUCCCAGAGCAAUAGGAAUGUGCA
rnacentral:lncRNA from 1 species